UACGGAGGGAGCUAGCGUUGUUCGGAAUCACUGGGCGUAAAGCGCACGUAGGCGGCCAUUCAAGUCAGAGGUGAAAGCCCGGAGCUCAACUCCGGAACUGCCUUUGAAACUAGAUGGCUAGAAGAUGGGAGAGGUGAGUGGAAUUCCGAGUGUAGAGGUGAAAUUCGUAGAUAUUCGGAAGAACACCAGUGGCGAAGGCGACUCACUGGACCAUUAUUGACGCUGAGGUGCGAAAGCGUGGGGAGCAAACAGG
rnacentral:misc_RNA from 1 species